GCGGAUGAUGAGCUAGUAAUUCUGAGCGAUGAAGAGCCCUAUGAGCGCUGACG
rnacentral:ncRNA from 14 species